rnacentral:sRNA from 1 species
GUAGACUGGGAAACUCAUCAAACUAAUUAGAAAUCCCGAGACACUCUUUUGUUUCAAUGGCGGGCCUCAACCGCAAGGUGUCCCAUCCGUUGGGCCGGAGGAUUACAAAGAGGCAAAAGAACUCAAAUCCUGUCAUUCGGAGUUUCAUCGCAUCCUUUGAUGUGGCUGU